UUUAAGGUCUAAUCUGCAUGGGCAGUAUGUUGCUGUUUGCAGUCCUUCUUGCAACUUCAUUUUGGUCCUGUGUGGACAUGCAGGCAGUGCCAGAGCAAACCCCAGGGCAGCAGGCACGGCUGAGGGGCACGUCUGCCAGCAUGUCCUGUAAGCUGGAGAGCACACAAACGGUGCACUGGUACAAGCAG